rnacentral:rRNA from 1 species
AAUAGAUACCCAGGUAGUCCACGCCGUAAACGAUGAGUGCUAAGUGUUAGGGGUUCCGCCCCUUAGUGCUGCAGCUAACGCAUUAAGCACUCCGCCUGGGGAGUACGGUCGCAAGACUGAAACUCAAAGGAAUUGACGGGGGCCCGCACAAGCGGUGGAGCAUGUGGUUUAAUUCGAAGCAACGCGAAGAACCUUACCAGGUCUUGACAUCCCACUGACCGCUAUGGAGACAUAGUUUUCCCUUCGGGGACAGUGGUGACAGGUGGUGCAUGGUUGUCGUCAGCUCGUGUCGUGAGAUGUUGGGUUAAGUCCCGCAACGAGCGCAACCCUUGAUCUUAGUUGCCAUCAUUUAGUUGGGCACUCUAAGGUGACUGCCGGUGACAAACCGGAGGAAGGUGGGGAUGACGUCAAAUCAUCAUGCCCCUUAUGACCUGGGCUACACACGUGCUACAAUGGACGGUACAAACGGUUGCCAACCCGCGAGGGGAGCUAAUCCGAUAAAACCGUUCUCAGUUCGGAUUGUAGGCUGCAACUCGCCUAC